ACUCAUUCAUCUUUUGAUUUCACCAUUUUCUAAAAAUACUUCAGCUUUUGUUCUUCUACCCUUGAACUAUUUUACUACUUCCCAACAAGUCUCAUCUAAAUUGUUUCAUUUAUAUUCUUUUCUGUUCCUCUCCUCACAUGAGUCCGAUAGGUUUCAAAAUGGGACACCUUACUUUCUUUUUUCUAUGGUGGUGAAUGCAUGAACGGUUGAAGAAGAAGGAGAAGUUGCUUGCAUGCAGCUGAAUAAGAUAUCUUAUGAUGAGAGAAUAUGCAGAUCAGGUGGUUUUUGAAGCGGGGAGAGGCUACAGUAAAGUAUUGCAAUGUAGUAGCAAACUGAGUAAAUUGCAGUGGUUUUUACAACAACUAUGCAACUGCUCCAUAGAUAUAUUAAGUUGUUUUUUAUGUGAAGUGGGCCAAUAAUAUAGGUUGGAUUUAUGUGAAAUUAGUGCUAGAGUUUGGAAUUAUAUGCUUAAUCAGAUCCUUUGUUAGUGCUGCAAUUCUGCAGGUUUUGGAGCUAAAUUGAGUUGUGUUUUACCGCAUAAUUAUGCAAACUUUUGUAUCUAAACUGUUUUUGUAGGCACCUUUACGGUUUGUUAUAACUAUAUUAGACUGUGAAUUGUUGGAUGUUAGUAAUGAAACACUUGGUCUUGGUAUAUGUAUGAAAUAUUAACUAUAGAAGUGUACGCAAAUGCAAUGGAGUGAAAC